ensembl:lncRNA
GCCCCACAUGAUUUACAUGCUAAAAUCGCCACUGAUGUGCAGUGAAACAUGACAGUUCGUGGCUGUUUCUCAGGAACCUACCAAUAACAGGGGAGGUUAGAAUUUUAUAUCAUACCCCCAAGACAUGCUAACCUCUCACCAUUACCAAUAACAGGGUAGGUUAGCAUUUUAUAUCAUACCCCCAAGACAUGCUAACCUCUCACCAUUACCAAUAACAGGGUAGGUUAGCAUUUUAUAUCAUACCCCCAAGACAUGUUAACCUCUCACCGUUACCAAUAACAGGGGAGGUUAGCAUUUUAUAUCAUACCCCCAAGACAUGCUAACCUCUCAC